UUCCCCCAAAACACCACACCAUCUCAUUUCUUCUUCCUCCCAAAAAACCCGUUCUAUUCUCUGUCAACACUCAAUAGUCUAACUGAUUAUAAACCUAAUAAAAAAAGAGAUAAGGGGAAAUGUGGGGAUAUAGAGAUGAAGAUAUAGAAGCGCCCAUCGUAGCCGACAAACACGGCGAGGAAUCAAAGCGAUGAUGGUUGUGUUCUUCGUUUUUGUGACAAUCGUUUGUUUACAUGGUGAUUUCGGUGGCUGAUUUUGCGUUCCAGGAUCGUCAAUCGAUGGUCGUUUGUUCAGUUCCUCUUCACCAGAGAACGGCGAUGAAUGUGGUUUAAUCCGUUAGGGUUUUCUCUUCAGCAAAGGAUGUUGUGUAUGAGCAGAGGCUGUUUGGAAUUUCACCUACCUUUAUAUGCAAUAUGGAGAGAGAUUUCAUGGGUUUAAUUCUAAGGAAAAAAGCCAUUCAAGCAGCUUGCAUCUGCUGAUGGUGUAUACCUGUGUUAUACAAUACAUGGGCCAGGUUCCCAACUUAUCAAGCAAUUAUGGAUUCACACAAGUGUUGGAGAUUUGCUCAGAAAAGGAAUCUCUUACAACAGUGUAUAUUUGUAGUGACAUGACACCAGAGACGAUCACAAAAAGGAAGCAUCGAAAUUACUCAAAAGUGCAAUUAAAUCUGGUGAACUGAUAGAUUUUUGAUUGAUGGUUUCCCAAGAAGCGAGGAGAACCGCGCAUCUUAUGAACAAAUAAUGAUAUUCUUUUUUUAUUUUCAUUUUAAAUGGGUUGGAUAAAGUUCAGUAGGCCAACAUGAGCCUAGGCCGUUAGUUAUAUGGGUUUCUCAUGUUGACCCAUAUAUACUACCUGAAUCCGUUUAGCCCUGCCCCAAACCCAUUUAUUUCUUGUCUGCUUUGACGUCUUUUAAUAUAAUUGUCAUGCAUUUGCUUAUUUAAUAGUUUGUUCAUGCUCUAAUGGUUCAAACCGCAUAUUGCGGUAUCUUGUCAAUCUAAACUGGUGACAUGCCUCAUUACAACUUAGGUAAUUUUUACCUUGAUUAUAUCAUCUGGGUGAUGAUGUCUUUUAUACCUUAUGGCUUAUCAGCAAUACAUGGUCCACAUACUGCUACCUAAAGUAGGAUAUUUAUCAUUUUAUUUGCACACAUUCACUAUUGUUUUAACCGUAUGGUCUUACAGUUGUAUACCGAUUAUUAGAUAUACAAAUGUAUGUAGUAUGCUAGGUAGGAUGUGGAUGCUCAAAGUCCAAGGUAUCCCAAUCUUCACUCAAAAUUGUUCAGCAACCUUCAUAGAUUAACGUUGCAUGUAUGCCCUCUUUUUCAGCUGUUUUGUUGUUUUAGAUAUUAAGUUAUUUUUGAGACUUUUUAUGUAGAAAGAUAGAAAAGUCUUAUGGUUUUAGAACAAUGUUGGAUGUCUAGAGAAAAUGUAAGUAU